rnacentral:rRNA from 1 species
AGUGAACGCUGGCGGUAGGCCUAACACAUGCAAGUCGAACGGCAGCACAGUAAGAGCUUGCUCUUACGGGUGGCGGGUGGCGGACGGGUGAGGAAUACAUCGGAAUCUACUUUUUCGUGGGGGAUAACGUAGGGAAACUUACGCUAAUACCGCAUACGACCUACGGGUGAAAGCAGGGGAUCUUCGGACCUUGCGCGAUUGAAUGAGCCGAUGUCGGAUUAGCUAGUUGGCGGGGUAAAGGCCCACCAAGGCGACGAUCCGUAGCUGGUCUGAGAGGAUGAUCAGCCACACUGGAACUGAGACACGGUCCAGACUCCUACGGGAGGCAGCAGUGGGGAAUAUUGGACAAUGGGCGCAAGCCUGAUCCGGCCAUACCGCGUGGGUGAAGAAGGCCUUCGGGUUGUAAAGCCCUUUUGUUGGGAAAGAAAAGCAGCAGGUUAAUACCCCGCUGUUCUGACGGUACCCAAAGAAUAAGCACCGGCUACUUCGUG